GGGUUUUGCUCGUGCGUUCUUUUUGAGUUCUCGCUCUGCGUGUUCACAGCGGACCUUGAUUUAAUGUCCAUACAAUUAAGGCACGCGGUGAAUGCCAAGAGAAGAAUCUCUCCAGCAACGAGUUUGCGC
ensembl:miRNA mir124-5 microRNA 124-5